rnacentral:rRNA from 1 species
GACGAACCGUGCGAACGUUGUUCGGAAUCACUGGGCUUAAAGGGCGCGUAGGCGGCUUAUCAAGUCGGGGGUGAAAUACUUCAGCUUAACUGGAGAAGUGCCUUCGAUACUGGUGGGCUUGAGGGAGGUAGGGGUCUUUGGAACUUCUGGUGGAGCGGUGAAAUGCGCAGAUAUCAGGAGGAACACCGAUGGCGAAGGCAGCUUGCUGGGACGGUACUGACGCUGAGACGCGAAAGCGUGGGGAGCAAACAGG